rnacentral:rRNA from 1 species
AACGAACGCUGGCGGCAUGCCUAACACAUGCAAGUCGAACGAGACCUUCGGGUCUAGUGGCGCACGGGUGCGUAACGCGUGGGAACCUGCCCUUAGGUUCGGAAUAACUCCCCGAAAGGGGUGCUAAUACCGGAUAAUGUCUUCGGACCAAAGAUUUAUCGCCUUUGGAUGGGCCCGCGUUGGAUUAGCUAGUUGGUAGGGUAAAAGCCUACCAAGGCGACGAUCCAUAGCUGGUCUGAGAGGAUGAUCAGCCACACUGGGACUGAGACACGGCCCAGACCCUUCGGGAAGGCGGCAGUGGGGACGAUGGGACACUGGGCGAAGGCUUAACCCCGCAUGGCCGGGUGAGUGUGGAAGGCUUUGGGUUGUAAAGCUCUUUUACCCGGGAUGAUAAUGACAGUACCGGGAGAAUAAGCUCCGGCUAACUCCGUG